rnacentral:pre_miRNA from 1 species
GCAGACUGAUUUUAACGUGGAAGAAUGAACACAUGAAUGAUAUUAACGUCCACGAUGUAAAUCUAAUGCAGAAUUGUUGCUGGGAUUAACUUCAGUUUCAGACACAAAGUUAAUGACUGUGGAAACCCAGUUCACUACUGUGCUACUUCGUGGGCGUUAAUACAUUUCAUAUGUUCACUCUACCAUUCAAUCGUCUGGACU